AAGUCGAACGGAGCCACUUUAUUUGAUUUCUUCGGAAUGAAGAUUUUGUGACUGAGUGGCGGACGGGUGAGUAACGCGUGGGUACCCUGCCUCAUACAGGGGGAUAACAGUUGGAAACGGCUGCUAAUACCGCAUAAGCGCACGGUAUCGCAUGAUACAGUGUGAAAACUUCCGGUGGUAUGAGAUGGACCCGCGUUGGAUUAGCUAGUUGGUGGGGUAACGGCCUACCAAGGCAACGAUCAGUAGCCGACCUGAGAGGGUGACCGGCCACAUUGGGACUGAGACACGGCCCAAACUCCUACGGGAGGCAGCAGUGGGGAAUAUUGCACAAUGGGCGAAAGCCUGAUGCAGCGACGCCGCGUGAGCGAAGAAGUAUUUCGGUAUGUAAAGCUCUAUCAGCAGGGAAGAAGAAAUGACGGUACCUGACUAAGAAGCACCGGCUAAAUACGUGCCAGCAGCCGCGGUAAUACGUAUGGUGCAAGCGUUAUCCGGAUUUACUGGGUGUAAAGGGAGCGCAGGCGGUACGGCAAGUCUGAUGUGAAAGCCCGGGGCUCAACCCCGGUAUUGCAUUGGAAACUGUCGGACUAGAGUGUCGGAGGGGUAAGUGGAAUUCCUAGUGUAGCGGUGAAAUGCGUAGAUAUUAGGAGGAACACCAGUGGCGAAGGCGACUUACUGGACGAUAACUGACGCUGAGGCUCGAAAGCGUGGGGAGCAAACAGGAUUAGAUACCCUGGUAGUCCACGCUGUAAACGAUGAAUACUAGCUGUUGGGGAGCAUUGCUCUUCAGUGGCGCAGCAAACGCAAUA
rnacentral:rRNA from 1 species